rnacentral:misc_RNA from 1 species
GAUGAAGAACGCAGCGAAAUGCGAUAACUAAUGUGAAUUGCAGAAUUCAGUGAAUCAUCGAGUCUUUGAACGCACAUUGCGCCCCCUGGUAUUCCGGGGGGCAUGCCUGUCCGAGCGUCAUUGCUGCCCUCAAGCACGGCUUGUGUGUUGGGCUCCGCCCCCCCGGGGACGGGUCCGAAAGGCAGCGGCGGCACCGAGUCCGGUCCUCGAGCGUAUGGGGCUUUGUCACCCGCUCUGUAGGCCCGGCCGGCGCCAGCCGACAACCAAUCAUCCUUUUUUCAGGUUGACCUCGGAUCAGGUAGGGAUACCCGCUGAACUUAAGCAUAUCAAUAAGCGGAGGA